GCAGCCGCGCAGCCCCCAAGAGGGCUCCGAGCUGGUCCCGGGAGCUGCAGCGCCGCUCGCCAGCGCCAGGGGGCGGCCUUGUCCUUCUCGCGGCGACCGGACCCCCGCGUGCUGGGGGAGGAGAGACCGCCCGACAACCCUGUGCCCCUUCCCUUCCUCCUGAAGCUGGGAGAGCCGGGAGCGGGCUUUUCUCGCAAGAGCACAGGUUGUCCCUGCUGGGUGCCACCAGUCGACGUCGGACAGGUAUGAAUGCUCUUGCCUUGUGGCCACAUUGCAUAGUGUCCCCAUCAGUCCCUGAGCACACCAAGCCGAAGUUCCCAGUCUAUUUAUUUAAACAGGAACUGGCUGAGGCUUCAGUCUCCUGCUUCGGCACGUGUGAGACUUUCCACCCACACUGAGGUGGCCCCAGCACCUCCUACCGUCGGCCAGUGAGGCAAGUCAGCUGCUUGAGUGUCCAGAGGCUGCUCCGAGCCCAGACUGCUUUGCUGUGUGCCCACAGGCUUGGUGGCCCGGAGACAUUUGUCAAAGGAAUGCCUGAUGGUGUGAAUGAGCGGAUGGAUGCCUUCUUCCGUGAGUUGCCUUGCUGCCUACAGAGGCAGGACCAGAGGCUCCCUACCUGGCUGUCAGAACUAUGGGGCGAUACGGUGGCCCACUGUGUCCACCCCACCACCUCCCGAUGGCCAUUUAUCUGCAGAGCUGGUCCCCUCAGGGAUUGGAUCUUGGCAAGGGCUCACUUUGUCCAGCUUCGAGGACUCACCCAUCACAUCCAGACUCCAGGAAACCGCAGCCAGUCUGUUGCCCCUGGAGUGACGCCUGUGGUGGAAGCCACAAUCGUCGCUCGCCCCAGACACCCAGCAUGCUCUGCACACAGGCCGCAGGGGGCAUGGGCGUCAAAUUAGCAUUGCAGGGGGGUCCCGAGACUGUUGAUAUCAGCACUUCGGGGUUAUUUAUGAAUUCAUCUAUUUCCUGGGACAGGCCUUUCUGCAUUCGGUUGCCAUGGUAGCUUUAAACCCAGUAUCUUAUUAAUUCUGCAUGUUAUGAAAUAAA